AUUGAACGCUGGCGGCAGGCCUAACACAUGCAAGUCGAACGGUAACAGGAAGCAGCUUGCUGCUUUGCUGACGAGUGGCGGACGGGUGAGUAAUGUCUGGGAAACUGCCUGAUGGAGGGGGAUAACUACUGGAAACGGUAGCUAAUACCGCAUAACGUCGCAAGACCAAAGAGGGGGACCUUCGGGCCUCUUGCCAUCGGAUGUGCCCAGAUGGGAUUAGCUAGUAGGUGGGGUAACGGCUCACCUAGUCGACGAUCCCUAGCUGGUCUGAGAGGAUGACCAGCCACACUGGAACUGAGACACGGUCCAGACUCCUACGGGAGGCAGCAGUGGGGAAUAUUGCACAAUGGGCGCAAGCCUGAUGCAGCCAUGCCGCGUGUAUGAAGAAGGCCUUCGGGUUGUAAAGUACUUUCAGCGGGGAGGAAGGGAGUAAAGUUAAUACCUUUGCUCAUUGACGUUACCCGCAGAAGAAGCACCGGCUAACUCCGUG
rnacentral:rRNA from 1 species